UCCUGCGGGCGCGCUGGGGCUGAGCCAGGGAUUCCCAGGCAGUAAUGGAUGCCACUUGGCUGAAGCCACAAUGCAGCUGCACUGAGCUGGUUGCAGGGGGCUGCAGUCUCCAGCAGGCACGCACCACAGGGACCCACCAAGGAGUGAGUGCAGCCUGAGGGAGCACAGCUGCAAAGACCCAUCUUCCUCCAAACCCCUAUCUCCUGUGGUGUUGCUCAGGACUCUUUCGAUGAUGAAUUGUUCUUUGAACAUACUUCUGUUCCACUGCAUAAUACAAAAUGCACAGCUCAACUGAUAAGGCCUGCCAAGCUGCAACAAGUAAGAAUUUCAGUAUUCCAUUGCCAGCACAUUCGACCAUCAAAUACUAUUGACUCCUGACUAAGCAUAUCUGGGAAAAGGACAGAAGCGUAAGUCAAUGGUGAGGGAGUUACUGGAGGUGGUCAGAUACCUCCACAGCCGACACGUGGUCCACUGGGAUAUCAAGAUGGAAAACAUUCUCCUCGACGACCGGAUCCAUAUCCGAUCUCCCAUUUCGGAUUCUCCUGCAUCUUGCAGCCCGGCCAGACGCUGAAAGGAAAAGCAAAAGGAGCCAGAGGCAGACCAAGAGGAAGGACCUAUUAAGCCCAGAGACCAAGUUUAUGUACGAGCCAUUCGAAGAACAUGGAAUGAACAAAGAAGGGAAGGACCAUUCACAGUAACUAAGGCCUCACCUACUGCAGUUCAGGUGGAGGGCCAAUCCAUGUGGUACCAUCUUAAUCAUUGCACAAGGGCUAUUCUGCCAGCACAGCUCGAGGGUAACCCCGAGUCUCUCCCAGUAAAAUCUGCGGUAAAGCAAUUCCCAUUGUUAUCGGGAGAAGACGAAUCCGACCCUCAAGAAAAACGGACCUCGAUGCUGGAAUACUACUACAACGGAGAAGAUAUUUUAUUUAUUUAUUUAUUUAUUUUUUUGUUUAUUUUUGUUUAUUUUAUUAGAAGUUAAUACAGCACAAAACAGUACAGUGGCACCUAAUUUUAGGUGCCAACUAUGUAAUACCGUAAUCCAUUCUAUGUACAACCUCUAGUUUUAUGUUAUAAGAAGGAAGUAAGCAGGACAAGAAAAAGAAAACAAUAGAAAGGGGAAAAAGUGGAAAAAUAGAUGGUAGAGAGUAGAAAAACGUGAAGUGUGUAUAUAAAAAAUAAAAAAAGGAAGAGAGAAAGUGGAAAGUAGAAAUAGAAGAGAAGGCCCCUUAAAAGAGAAUUUUACAAAUCUGUAUUCGGAGAUGUAGAUCUAUCCGCGUCAUGAACUGAAAUCAGCAAUCCUUACGGUACCGCUGCAUCACAUGAUUCCAAAAAGUCGAUGAAAGGAGACCAACUCCUUAAGAAUUGGUCAUAUUUAUCUAUUAGUCGGAGUCUCAUUUCUUCAAGGCGUGCUAUGUCCAUCACAUUCCUAAUCCACAUUUUAACAGUUGGUGUGGUUGUAUUUUUCCAAAAUUUAAGUAUCAAUUUCUUUCCAAUUAUUAACCCAUAAUUAAAAAAAACAUAUUGAUCUUUAUUUAAAUUGGUAUCUUCUCCUAUUAUUCCAAAUAUAAUCCAUUCCGUUUUGGGUUCUAUUCUUGACUUGAAAAUCUUUGUAAAUAUAUCAACGGAGAAGAUAUUUUAGAAGGCUACUAAAGGAAGUCUGUAAGGGAAGCUGGGUCUUUUUUCCUGCCCCACGAACAUGGGGGUAGGUUUUUGGCUCAGUCUCCCAGGGAGCUAGAGAAAGAACAUUGCACAGCAUUGCACUAACAUCAUUAAAAACCCUGCAUUUCAGGGCUCUAUGUGUGAUUCCACCUGGGAAAAUGUGUGUGUGGCUUUCUUUUUCUCUGAGACCAAAUGGUCUAAAUUGGUGGAAUUAUAUGGAAGUAUACACAUAGCAGCAGAUGUCAGCUAUUUUACGUAACCAGAUGUCAGCUACUUUACUUAAUACUCACGUGAUUGUCAGUCCUUUAGCAACACAUUCAUGUUAUUAUUAGUCAAUUAGUUAAAUAAUUUGUCCAGUAAACAAGUUACUUACUUCUACUUGUGUAUCUUUGUAUUUUUAGUCAUUCAUUUGUAUCUUUGUAUUCAACCUAUAAACUGGUAUGUAACCUUUGAAACAAGCAAGUUGUAGCUGGAAAAUAAGGGUAGCGAAAUAGAGGGUAAUAAGUGAGUUAGAGUGACAGCUGGGAGAUUAGAAUGGCAGCUGGGAAAUAAGGGUAGGGAAAGAAGAAGAGAUAUGGGAAGAGAUAUAAGAAUUUAGAUAAGAUUGAAACGACAAUGGAUGUUAAUGGUGGCAGGACAGAGAGUGUCAGAAUAGAAGAUGGAUGGGUACAAGAGGAGUAUGAGUAUGCAAGAUAAGGUAGAAGAGAUAUACCUGUAAAACUAUUUUUUUUUAAAAAGGAGCCUGCUGCUGUAAUGUGUGAGGAGUCAGGGAGCAGGCAGGCGGUUGUCUUCCCUGAGUGUUGCAGCUGAUGUUUGCAAAUAAAGGCUUUUCGACUUCUUGAAGAAUUCGCCCAGGGGAUUGUUUGUGUCAUCUAGCAAUGUUACAAAACUUUGAGAUUUUAAAAAUCAAGUCUGCAAAUUACCCCCAUCAGAUAAAGCAUAAAAAGAAGUUUAAUUUGACACCUAAUUCACUUUCAUAUCUUCAGUAUUAAAAAGGUUAUGGCCAUUUUCACACUCGGAAAUUAGCAUCUUGUUCCCUAUUGCUUUUCCAUUGACUUAAUUCAAAAGCUGUGAUCGAGGACAGUCAAAAACCCACAACUUUCUUAAAAAUUAAGAGAACUGAAUGACAUUUUCAGUUAUUAUAGAUUGAAGCAUUCUGAAACAAAUAUGAAACAAUCUACUUGGAUGACCUGAAAUUAAAGCAUAUUAUUAAUUAGUUACCUAAUUGUA